rnacentral:tRNA from 1 species
UGGGGGGUUUGCGUUUCUGGUGAGCGCCGUGGGCUUCAAACCCAUUGAACGGUUAGGUGGCUAACUGUUGGGGAGUUCGAUUCUCUUGCCCCCUAGCCA